rnacentral:lncRNA from 1 species
GACGCUUCCGGGAGGUCUAGGCGGCUGCCGUGAGCCGGUCCGAAACGGCUCUAGGUGCACUGUCCGGCUCCAGCCAGGUCCGCUACGCCUGGAGAGCAUGGAGGCAAGUUCUGCCGGCUCCACCUGCAAAGCAGAGCCCCUUUCCACGACUGUGCAGCACCGCUCGCUCCAGCCCCACCAUACCCGCCUGGACGGAGACCGACCGCAGCCUGGGAGAGCCUCCAAGCCUGGAGGCGGGCGCGCGAGCCCUUUCCAAGGAGAACCCACAGCGGCUUCCCCUCUUGCUCCAGGGGCCUCUAGAUCCCACCCCACCUGGCACCUGCGUCUCUCCCAGAACUCGGCCUGCCCCUACCUUCCCGCCAGCCCCCACCCUGCUGGGGCUACUGGGACCUCCUAGCGGCAUGCAGCGUUCAGGCUCAACCCCCGCUGUGCUCUGCGGUCGCAGCUGCAGCCGCUUCGGUGCUCCAAGACCAGAGAGGAAGCAAAGACAGAGCUUUCCCAGCCAGGCAUCGCUGCUUUGGCCUUGAAGGUGACAAAGAAGACAAGGAAGACAAGGAAGGUGAUCCGGGAGGCUGGAGAGCUUGUCAAGGUCACAGACCCACGGUUUUCCGCCCCCUAGGGUCCAAGCUCUUUCCUGGACAUCUGCAGGCAAUGUCGACACGCCCUCCAGUGUCUGUGGCGGGCAAAGGAUGUGUCUCCACCCCCAGACCUUCCGAUCCUGUGCUGAAAGUGUCCCUCAGCCUGUUUCCUGAGAAGCCCAGGGGCUUUUGGCUUGUUACUUUUUCUUUCUCUUGAAGUAAACAGAAUAAAAGAGAGUUGCUCAGA